UAGAUCAAAAACGAGGCUCCUGUAGUUUGUAGAUAAGGAGUCGGACCUNCCCGGUGAAUCUAUUUAACGCCGCGGGACCCUGACCGUGCGAAGGUAGCAUAAUAACUGCCUUAUAAUUGGAGGAUUGUAGGAAUGGUUUGACUUGAACAAAUCUGUCUCUUUAUGAUUUUAUAGAAAUUUUAUUUUUAGGUGAAGAAGCCUAAAUGUAAUUAAUAGACAAGAAGACCCUAUCGAGCUUUAAAGAAAUUAGUAGAGUUAUUGAUAUAUAAUUAUAAAAAAUUUAACUAUUAAAAAUUUUGGUUGGGGCGACUCAGGAACAAAAAAAGCUUCCUAGAUUUAAGGUACUUACAUGUGUUGAUCCAAAUUUUUUGAUUUAAGGAAUUAGUUACCGUAGGGAUAACAGCAUUAUCUUCUUUGAGAGUUCUUAUCGAAAAGGGGGUUUGUGACCUCGAUGUUGGACCAGAAUGUCCUAAAGAUGCAGAAGUCUUUAAGGGUUGGUCUGUUCGACCAUUAAAAUUCUACGUGAUCUGAGUUCAGACCGGCGUGAGCCAGGUCAGUUUCUAUCUUUAAUUUUUUAUGCAAGCUUAGUACGAAAGGACCAGCUUGUAGUAUUAAAUGCUGCAGGUGAAGUAAUAUAAUUAAUGGUUGCUGGAUUAGGGGAUAAUAAUGCAAUUGACUUAGGAUCAUUAGAUAUAGGUGAGAGUCCUUUAUUCAGUAUGGUUAAGAUGGCACAUUUAGUGCAUUAUGUUU
rnacentral:rRNA from 1 species